GAGCUUGUUUUGCACACGAACCGGGACGGGAUAGGACAUAUAAUGAGUCCCAGCAGCUACUACGAAUGCCUAAAGUUCCCUUCCCGCGCACCGUCCCCUCCCCGCUGCCGGCCUGGCCUCCGCUUCCUUAUUGGUUCACCCGGGGUUUCUCCGUCACGUGAGAAAAACGUUCCUAAGCUCGAUGUCACGUGAUCUAGUCGGUUCAUUGGGUGUGGCCCGGGUCACGUGACUGCGAAGGGCGAGCCCCUGUGUCCUUCCUCAGGUCUGAUUCUCCCACCCGAACCCGAGCCCUGCACACCCUGCAGAGCUCUGCAGCUCCACUGGGCUGCACUGGGCAUAGGUGAAGGGCAUACUAGAUGGAGGAGCAAGGUGUUUGCACCAAGGAUCGAGCUCUGGACCAGAGCCCUAACGUGGGAAGUGUAGACCCUCCCGGGUCGCUAACUUUAGUGUGUGGGGUUACAGGGUCAAAUCAAGAUAGUCCGCGCUCAAUCUGGGCUGGGGAUUCUGUUGUGGCAGCCACCACCAGCUCCCCUCAAAAAACGUAACUCGCUUCAAGAGCGAUGAGAAGGGGCUGUUCAUUUUGCUUUCAGGAUCCUUCACUGACCUUCGUAAAUACAUGGAAAGAUGAGAAGGUUCUGGGACAGAAAAGGGUGGAAAGAUGGACUUGUCAGAAGGAGGGGCAGAAGCAGAAGCACAAUGGGGGCUCCUCUCCCUCUCCGAGUGCUUCUUUCCUAGAGCCUCCGGGGAGGAGACGGCUUUCCCUUUCCACAUCCAAGGCAACCUGCAUACAACGCAGAGGUGUCCAGUUCUCUGUAAGACUGGGAGUUAGCGGAUUACCAGCAUCCUUUCCUCCUCACUUGCUCACGUCUUCGGUGGAUUCUGGCUGCUUCAUUUCCCAAACAGAUGGCAAAGUGGCCCUCCUUCUGUCUCCACUGUCCUCCUUUCACUGUCCAGACACAGUCCUCAGUGAUCUGACCCACCGGUGGGCUUAACUCUCCUGGCAAAGUCCAGUCUCUUGAUCUGGAACUUUGAGGAUCCAGGUCCCACAGAGGUCUUCACUGUCUCCUACCCCACAUGAUCACCUAUCUCCAUAGCCCUGCCAGGCUCUUAGCGGCCACUCUGGCUGCUUCCAAGGCUGUAGCCUGCUUCUCCCAUGCUGACUUCUCUUCCUGGGCUCAACAGCAAAGGUUCCCUCAGCAGAGAAAACCCUAGGCUUUGAGCCAUGGUGUGUCCCAGUUUCCUCUGUGUUUAAUAUUUGUGCUUCCUGCUGUUGUGGCUGCUGCAUGUGGGCAGGAACUGCUUCUGUUUUGUUUAUUGCUCUGUGUACUUCCCACCCAGCCUAGGAUCAAUAAAUAGGUGUUGAGCCAGGUAUGGUGGCUCA
rnacentral:lncRNA from 1 species